rnacentral:rRNA from 1 species
AUUGAACGCUGGCGGCAGGCCUAACACAUGCAAGUCGAACGAGUGGCGGACGGGUGAGUAAUGUCUGGGAAACUGCCCGAUGGAGGGGGAUAACUACUGGAAACGGUAGCUAAUACCGCAUACCUUCGGAUGUGCCCAGAUGGGAUUAGCUAGUAGGCGGGGUAACGGCUCACUGAGGCGACGAUCCCGAGCUGGUCUGAGAGGAUGACCGGCGACACUGGAACUGAGACACGGUCAAGACGCCUACGGGAGGCAGCAUGGGGGAAGAGUGCGCAAUGGGCGAAAUCCGGAUGCAGCCAUGCAGCGUGUAUGAAGAGGGCCUGCGGGUUGUAAAGUACGUACAGCGAGGCGGCGGUACUCGCAGAAGAAGCACCGGCUAACUCCGUGCCAGCAGCCGCGGUAAUAC